CCUACGGGAGACAGCAGUGGGGAAUAUUGGGCAAUGGGCGCAAGCCUUACCCAGCAAUACCGCGUGAGUGAAGAAGGUCUUCGGAUUGUAAAGCUCUUUGAUCAGGGACGAACAGAUGACGGUACCUGACGAACAAGCCCCGGCUAACUACGUGCCAGCAGCGGCGGUAAAACGUCGGGGGCGAGCGUUGUCCGGAAUGACUGGUCGUAAAGGGUGCGUAGGCGGCAGAGUAAGUUAGAAGUGAAAUACCCAGAGCUUAACGCGGGUGCUGCUUCUAAGACUGUUGAGCUUGAGUGCGGGGGAGGUUAAUGGAAUGCCUAGUGUAGCGGUGGAAUGCGUAGAUAUUA
rnacentral:rRNA from 1 species